CUUCCCAAGCCCGCCCAUUCCA
rnacentral:miRNA from 1 species